rnacentral:misc_RNA from 1 species
UAUGAAGAACGUAGCGAAAUGCGAUAAGUAAUGCGAAUUGCAGAAUUCAGUGAGUCAUCGAAUCUUUGAACGCACAUUGCGCCCUGUGGUAUUCCGCAGGGCAUGCCUGUUCGAGCGUCAUUUCAACCCUCAAGCCCCGCUUGGUGUUGGGCCCCGCCCGCCGUGGCCGGCCCUAAAGACAGUGGCGGCGCCGCCUGGCCCUCAGCGUAGUACAGCUCUCGCUCCAGGGUCCGGCGGCCGCCUGCCAGAACCCCCCCAACUCUGUGGUUGACCUCGGAUCAGGUAGGGAUACCCGCUGGACUUAAGCAUAUCAAUAAGCGGAGGA